UAUAAUAGUAGGUUAGGUGUGACAGGCAGACCCUGUCUGAUGCACUUUUUAAAAUGAAUAUAUUCCUUUUGUUUCUGUUCAUGUUGUAAAUCUAAUUAAGGACCCUGUUCUUUUCUUAAAUCUGCGUGUGAAUAAAAUCAUUUGAACCCAAGCUAACCCCCAGGAACAAAUCUAGUAAUGGAGCACCCAGCAGGAUGGAAAAGGAAGCAGCAGAAUCUUGGGUUUUGAAAUGAAACUCUGGAUGGUUAGUAUGGAUUUUGUAAACAAAAUCCGGUACAUCUUUAUUUAAUUUUAGCCAUGUUUAAAAGGUGGUUAAAAUAUAGGGCUAUUCAAAAUGAAAGAGCAGAUUUCAAAAAUGUAUUUCAAACAAACUGUAUAAGACAGCAACACAUUCCGCACAUCACUGGAUAGAGGAAAGUUCAAAGUUUGGUCCUAUGGUCCUUGAGGUUGCAUGCACCCAACAUGAGCACCAUGUGUAGCGUGACAAACGUCAAAACGGUAGACCAUUUCUUGCCACACACAAGUCAACUGGUCCCUAGUUACUGAAUUCACGGCUUUCUCAAUUCGACGUAGCAAAUCUUGAAGAUUAGCGGGCUGAGGUUGAACAAACACUCUUUCUUUAAUGUACCCCAUAGAUAAAAAUCACAGGGGCUAAGUUUCUGGAUACCUUGGAGGCCAUAGACAAUGAACAAGAUCUUGUUGUCCACCUCUUCCAAUCCAUCGUCCUGGAAUGGUGUCGUUCAGGUAAUGCCGGACCUCCAAGUGGAAAUGAGGCGGGGCACCAUCUUGCAUGAAAAUGAAGUCAUUCGAAUCCUCUUGAAGUUGAAUUUUUAAACUUUGAACUUACCUCUAUCCAUUGAUGUGCGGAAUAUGUUUCUGUCUUGUACAGUUUGUUUGAAAUACAGUUUUGAAAUCUGCUCUUUUAUUUUGAAUAGCCAUGUAUUUUACAUAAACUAUAGUCAGACCUUAGUGUGGUAGAUCAUUUAUAUAGUAUUAGUGUUUUCCUUGAUUAACUUUCAAAAAUUAAACAGGUUUAGUUUUACUUAAAAUCUAGGCACAUCCAAAAACUGAUUCUUUGGUCAGAAAUACAUAAAUACAUAAAGCACAAACAUGAAUAGUCUACCACUGCUUAAAGAAGAACUAAAGCUUGGUCUUUUUGCCUAUGGAGUUCCAACCCACAAACAUGGGUAAUAUGAAAUUACUCCCUGGAUGGCAUCAAAAGUGGAUCACUAGCAGUUGAGAGACUGGACUUUUAAGCUGAAGAUGUCCAGUUUUAAAUUUAAGAAUUGUCUGUGGAACUCCUUUAUAGUCAUUUUACCUGCCUGCAUGCCUUCCAUGAAUUUCUGAACCGGGUCUUUCCAAUACAUAGAACCAUGGCUGAAAAUGACCAAUUUAAAGUCCCUAAUUAAACUUUGCGCAAGUCUUUAGAAAGUGAAAGGAGAUCAGAAGUAUAUAGAAAAACCCAUACAGACACUGGCUAAACUCGUAAACGUUACACAGAAGUUGACCAGGCUGGUGAUUACCCCCUGGGUCCCAUGAACUGUGGAGAAACUGUGGUGAAACUGUGGCAAUGGCAGUGCUCUGCUUGUUUUCAUACUGUGAAAACAUGAACGCAAAUGUAACAUGCCUUUAAAACAUCUCAGUGUGGUACUUACUAUGGAAAGAUAUAUUAUAAAAUCACAUUGUCAUAAAGUCCCUAACUAUAUAAGCAGUCGCACAUGCCCAGUACUCCCACUGUAAAACCAUGGAUAUAAGUGAAAUUACAGACCCUCGGAGUGCUGGGACAUUCAUUGUUCAUUUUUACUGCGACUUGGCACUGAAUAAGACCAUCGAUCUGCAAAUUCUAUUUCUGCCUCUUGAAAGGGUCACUUCAUUUUGCCAGUAUUGACAUUAUGAGCAUAUGGAAACAGUUGUACUGUAGCUCUAAAGUGCCUUUGGAUGGUAUUCACUAUAGAAAGGUGCUAUAUAAAAAUAACACAGAUACAGGAUGAUACCCAAUAACUGACUCCCUAUGAAGCUCAUUUAUCCAGACAGUGCUCACGUUGCAAAAAAUAAAAUUUUAAUUGACAUAAUGCUUACACAAUUUGCCUUUCAUAAUGUUGAGAUUCAAAGCGCAGCAGAACAAGUAUACCUAUUUUUCUACCGUCUCAAAUGAUUCGGCAUCCUAAAAGGGUAAAUAAGUAAAAAAAAAAUUGUGUCUUACUUGUAAGGCGCUUUGAAAUGUUGGUCACUAUAGAAAGGCACACUGUAAAACUACUGAGAAGUCCUAUUGCCAUUCCAAAACACAGUUUUGUUCAUACCUGCCUGGACUCUGUGCCAGAUACUGAAUGUAAUAUAUUCCUUUUGAUUUUCAUUGCUACAUAAUAUCUUGCUGAAUGUUGCAACUACAAGGAGUGCUUAAAAGAAUGUCCGCUCUUCCUUUGGUGAGAUUGCUAAUGGGAAACCAUCAAAAAGGGACAAUAUCUUGAUUGAAUCUGGAGUCCUUGGACACACAAGUCAAACUUUUGCAGUGGUGCUGAAUGAAAAUGUAUUUGUUGUUCAAAGUGUUUUUUAUAUACAGAACCUCUGGUAUUGCAUUGCUGCUCGAAUUGUACUUGAUAUUCCCUGUAAAAUGCCUGUUUCCUACUUUAUUAAUUUAUUUUUAGCAGUGCAGUAUGCUUCUUAAGCCUUUUGCAUGGUUUGAGUGAAACAUUAUAUAAAACCUAUAAGUUGAUCUUUCUGAAAUUAAAAUGGGGGGUUCAGGUGACACUGAAGGAUGCCUUUGGGUGAUGCAGUGGUGAACCAUGAACAAUAUUCAAAGUAAAGGAGCAUGUUUCUUUUCUCUAAACUCACGAAGGAUUAAACCAGUGCUGUAUAUAUGUCACAGCCUUCAGUUGUCACCAAUGGACAAUAAUUUGCCUGAACAGAUUCUUCAAGCAUAAGGGAAGACAACAGGAUUGGUCACUCUGCUUUCAAGAAACACAACAGUAUUUUAAAGGUUAUCUAGCUCCAACAACAUAGCUUGAGAAUACAAGGAGAAACAUAACAAACUGGGUUUGCUUUUUAAAGUUCUUGUUUACUGCAACUGACUUAAGAUUUUAAUAAAAUGAUCUUGCCUUUGUUCUA